AGCGUGCCAUCCGAACAGCUGCAGCCUGCCCGGAUAGCUGUGCAAGCACCUCUGGUUCUCAAGAUUGCUGGUUUCAACACCCAGAAGCAAGGACAUUUAAAAACCACGUUGUCUGUGGUCUGCCAAAAAUACUCUACCUGUUUUCUCUGUAUGGCUUUAAGCAGUUUCUCAGUGUUUAGUGACUGGAGGAAGAGGCACUGUAUCUGGCGUGAAACCUGUUCUGCUGAUGGACAGCAGGCAUGCUUAAGGCAAAGCACAAUAGUUAAUAUAAACAGCUCUCCCGAAAGAUGGUGUGAAUGAUUCUUAUAUGAAGUAUAGCACGGGAAGCAGCUGAACGGGGCUCCAGCAAAAUCCUGUCCAUAUUUGUCAAACCCAAGCCAGUAUCUUUGUGAGCUGCCACCUUCGUGUCAGGUCUGGGCUCAAACUGGGCAUCCUGAAAAGACAGUGGGGCGAGUAGUUGUGUUUCCAGACUCCGUCUCCUGUCUCUGGCUGCUGUUUCCGAGGAAGUGCUCCUCUCUCUUCACCCUCGGGAGAGAACAGGCAGAUCUGAUUGCUCUGCUCUCUGUUUUUGUCCCGCUCUAGGGAUGAUGCCUCUAGGAGAGGGACGGGUCUGGUUUCCUGUGCUGUUGAGCACUGUGACAGCAAGGAUUUCCUUGUGAUGUUUCCCGUGUAAAUACAUCUCAUCUAAACCCCUGUUUAUCCUUAAAUUGCAACAAGAGGCCCCAGGCAUCUGAAGGAUUUUAAUUUCUGUCAGAUUUUAAUUUAUGAUUUUGUUUUCUUUUGUUCUGAUAUUAUUUGAGUUUCAUCUGCCUUGCCUGCGCUUGCCUGCCAGUCCCGAGCGAACGGCAGAUGGCACCAGCACCCCGUGCGUGCUCAGGCUAAACCAAGACUAACUUCAGCAGAACAUCUUCCAACUUCUAACUGAGCAGGGUGAAAGUGUGAACCAUGCAUCGAGUCUCCCACGCAGCUCUCCGUUCUUGCUUGGGGCUGCAGAAAGCCAUGUAGCCCUUGGUGCGGUUCUUCUUGUGGAUUUACCCUCAGUUCAGACGUGAAGCAGGAGUGAUACAGGCCUUCGGCAAGAUCUGGGCUCCUGAAGCUGAUGGAAGGACUCCCGCAGGUCUUGCUGCAUACCUGCUACAGUAGGUGUUUGCUUGUGCUGAUUAUUUUAGCAUCCUUCGUCUUGCUAAGUAGUUAACUCUUGGAUGGCUGUGAUGAGGAAUGGUUCUGUAACGGUGUCCUGCACGAGUGCACUAAUCGUAAAUGAUGGCAUUUUGCUGGCGGAGGAGCGGCUCCGCGUGCAGGAGCCGGCGUAGGUGCACCGUGAGAGUGCUGAGCACCCGGGCUGUCAUUCCCAGGUGCACGGUCAGCUGCAAGGACUUCACGUUUCCGGGACUAGCAGCUUAGGUGGCUCUUCAAUUCACUUGAGAAAUACCCACCCGGGUAACAUCCCGCGACCCUUUCUGAUUGCCGCUUCUGUGAUUUCUAUAGAGGUGGAGCUACACUCUGUGUGACCUGUUGCUUCUCGCUGCGAUCAGCUGGCCUCAAGGAACCAAGAGAUCUGGCUGGAGUCUCCAUUCUGGUACAGAUGACCUGGGAGGUAUGAAGAUCAUCCACACCAUGUGCGACAUGCAGGAGCAACUGAUGUUUAGCUGUCUAGGAAUCCCCUUGCAUCAAAGCAGCUUGGUGGUAAGUGUUAGGGUGCUGUACAUUUACAGUUCCUGCGGCCCUUUAAAUGCAGGGGUUGAAUUCUGAGAACAUGAUUUAGAGCAAAUACAUGAACUAUACGAAGUUUCUUGCAAGGCAAUUGGGAAGGGACAGCAGACAGGACAAUACCAGGUCAAGUGAAGUUGUGUCCUUCUGUAAUAUCAGAGGAGAUGUUACUAUCUGAAAGAGAUCAUAUAUAUAUUUUAAAGAUAUUUUCCUUUUUAGUUUUCUGAUCAUUAAAUUAAUCAGCCAGUCAAGAGAAGUGGAAUGUGCAAACGAAGAGGAAGCAUUUGCACUAUAUCUGAGCUGUGUCAGCUACUGCUUUUGCCUACUGAUUUGCUCACCUCUUUCUUAAAGACCCUUAUGUUUUCCUCCUGCUAGUAGUGACUUCUUUCUUUGAUCUCUUCCUUGGCCUAUUUGUCUGUCUUGUUUAUGGCUGUCUCUCCCUGAAAACAAGGAUUCUGUUUUCUUUGUGAUCUGCUGAGGCCAUAAUUAGCUCCUCUAAAUUUAUUUUUCCUCUUUCACUGUAAAUUAUUGAAGGUCUAUUAAAACUCUGAUGGGUUGUUUUCUACAUGAAGCAGAUAUUAAUGUAUCUUGGGAGCAGCUACGUGGUUCUUACAAUGAGUGGCAGGUAAAAUAUAUUUUUGUAUUUCUUGUAAUUGUGUAGAACUUUCACACUGCUCCUGGGGAGAAACUUUUUUUUUUUUUUUAAUAGAGUAGCAUAAUUUGUUUAUUUUUAAACCACAAAUAUUUCAGGGACAUUAUGAGCACAUUCUCUUUUCUAAAAACUAGGUAAAGUGAUUGCGUCUGUUCAUGCACUGAGAUAUGAACAAAUGUCAUCUUUCCCUGUCAAUGGUCAUCAAGCACGAACAAUUAAUAUUUCUGUCAUAAGUUACUCUUCACAGACUUCACUAUAACGGAAAACAACUCCUUUGAGUUUAAAGGAUGAAAACUUGGCCAACUGACAGAAACAAGGACAGAAUUUUACUAACAGAGUUGUGGAAUUAAUCUCUGGAGUUGAUGCCAUCUGACGAGGAAUAAGGAAGAACCACAGUUUACUUUGUGCUGAAAUCUUCAGCCUUUUUGGACUUUGCUUGGGGCUGUAGUUAACUCACUUUCUACUGAGGUCAAUGUUAUGCUUAUAUCUGUGAGUCUCCAAGGGUGCAUUUUCACAGCAUCUUAAGAUGAUCUAAGUCAGGGAUGCUGCAGUUCUGCUUCCUCCCUUGUGCCAGCACUGGCACUCAUGGAAUCGUGCAGUGAACGCUUUCAGAAAGCUGAGGCAGCUAAAAGCUAAGCACUUUUUCAUUGUAAGAUUAUUUUUGGCUGUCUCAGUUCUCUUAAGUGGAUCAUUGUGUGUUUGCAGCAAGCAUCAGUGCUGGCACAGAGGAAGAAGCAGGAUCACGCGGCUGGAGGGCAGGACGGCUCUAACCCCAACACAGAUCAGUUUAGAGUACUGGGGAACUACAUCCUGAUAUGAUACCCAAUACAAAACUGUAACCACCAAGUCAGGAAGACUAGAAUAUUCAGUGUUUGCUCUUGCUGCACCUUUACAAAGGCUCCCAGGAUCAGAAUUGGAGGGAAGACUUUACUAGUCUCUCUGACCAAGGGACCAGGCACAGCACUACUGUUUGUCUCUCCUCUUGCCCCUGGUAGUGAGACUUGUGAUCAAGCUGGAGAAGAGAGGUCAAUAAUAGUGAUGUGAUUGCAAGGUUUGGUGCGAAUGUUCCUGGAGGUGUGGAGAACGGAAUAGCACAGACAGGCCUUUGAAAGCUAAGAACUGGGAUAUAAAAGAGGUAAAAUGACCAUUUCAUGUGGAACAGUGUCCUAAAAAAAAAAAAAAAACUUGAAAAGGUCUAUGAAAUUAUCAUCAGAGAUGAGACAAGACGGGCCUGCAAUUCAGGAUCCAGUGUCUGAAAAAGCAAAGAAAUGGAAAGCAAGGAACAGAGCAAAUGGGGAGAUUCCCAAAAUGAAGAGGAAGUAAUGUGACCUGAGCAGGUCCCACAGUAUAUAUGUAUAUACUUAAGAGAGAGGAAGGGUGAGAUGAGGUAAGUGCUCUAAGUAUGGAUGCUUUAACACUUCAUGAGGUUUUGAGGGUUGCAUGCACUUCGGUGUGUUAGAUUAUAUGUGGUCUAUUUAUCAGAAGUAGAUUGUCUUAAUGUCCACACUCAGACUUGUAUCUCAUUGUAGGGAUAAUGAACAAAGGAAGAAGCUACCUGAGGAGGUUGUGAAAUUGCCUUCACUGAAAGCUUUUGAAACAGACUUGGCAGGUACCUGUGAAAGCCACUUAGGGAGGCAGAGGGGGAUGCACCGGGAGAGGGAGCACGGAUGGGUGAGGCUAUGUUCAAGUGCAGCAUCAGUGGCCAGACAUGCAGUACACCAAAUUGUAUCGGUGUCUCUCCUGGACCCACACCUGGGCAGAAAUGGAACAGGGGAAUGAAGUGGAAAGAACAACUGCUAGAAGAGGUUGCUUGUGAUUAUAGGAAUACCACGUGUGAAGGCUAUGUAACUGAAUUAAUUACUAGGGAGUAUUGUAAAUGAAAAGAGAAGAGGACUAGGUUAACAUCUAUUUCAGAAACCUUGUGGUGCAGGCACUAAUAUUCCUGGUAAAACAUGAGCUGCCCUUUUCACCUUCAAGGAAAGAAAACGUGACCACAAAAAUGAUUCUCGGCUCCCAGAUCAUUUGCAAUGUAAACUCCAGUAGGUUUAAAAAUGUUGUUUCUAAUGGAGAAUUCAGUAUGUUGAAAAUCAUGCCACAAAUCUGAGGCUAGUAAUCUUUAAUGUGCUGUAAAAGUAAAGCAUCAAAAGUAAAUGCAUGUGUUAGUGGUUUCAUAGGUUUUGCACACCCUUGAGUUCUAAUUAUUUAUCUUAGAAAAUACCUCCCAAUGGAGCUAAGGAGAGAUGUAAGGGUGAGAAGAGGGUGCAGCAACAGGGUUGGAAAGAGGAUGGAAGGUGUGGGAGGAAACACUAGUAGGCAAAGCAAGAGCGAAGCUGCAGGAGGCAACAGGGACCAGUAGCACAUUGGGAAGGGAAGGAAGAAUGAACACAAAAGAGGGAAGAAGAGCCAGCUAGCUGCAGAGAGGGAGUAGAUGUAAACAGAUUACAAGGGAAUGGGGAAAAAAAAAUCUGAAGGGGGGGAAUCACCCCACCCAUAAAAAUAUGCUGUGUUGCCUUAAAGCCGGGAAAAGUGGGCCAGCCAAGGGAAAUGAAGGUGAAACGCUUGGGCUGGCAAAGGUGAAGGGAAGAGUACAGCCUGAAGGUAAGGGCA